AGACAGAACACAGCGCGCUAGCGGAGCUAGUCUGCUAUAUAUAUACGGUCAGCACGUCUGGUAGCAUCUCUGGCUGCUGUUGACCUUGUUUUUGGAGUAAAACACGGUGGAAGCUGAAUUAGUGAGGAUGACUCCUGCUCCUGUCAUCUCUAAGCUCCUCACACAUCUUUACCUGCACAUGAGGAAAAUCACUCCUGUAGAAUGCAGAUGUUCAGAGGGAGAUGAUGCCACAUCUGGUCCAGCUGAUGGAAGGUCUUGAAGUUCUCUGACUGGCCUCGACUGAAGAUGGUCGUCUCACUGGAUUUAAGAGAUGCACAAUGAGGGACGUCUGCAGAGACUGAGAAAGAGUCUCACCACAUCCUGACAUGAGGAAAAAGACUUUAUUGAAGACUACAAUGAGAAAAACUAUCAGACAGCAGACGGCUGCAUUCAAGGCUACAGGAGGAGUCCUACGAGGACGAGCCGGUCCACCUGAUGGUGGCCAGUCGCUGUGGUUCAAAGCCAACACCGACUACGUGGACUUCUACUGGACCACAUGGAGGCCUUCAAACCGGACCAACAAGUUCACCGACUCCCCGACUCGUGGGUCUGAGGAUGCCGCCGAGCCUCGGUCCAGCCGGCCUCCUGUCUGUGGAUGUUUGAGUGCUGAGAGGUUUGUGGAUGCAUGUGAACGUGUCUGUGUUGAAACAGCAGCUUUGGACUCAGUAACGCCAGGAAAAACCAAGAGCUCCUUUAUUUGUGACUUCCACUAAAAAAACUGAUGAAAAUGAGUUUGAAUGAAUAUACCAUUAAACUCACCUUUUAGGUCUACAUUGGAGGAUUUUAGGUGGAAUUUUCUUCCAGUCCGUCUUUUAGUCUACAUGUAAGGAUGUUUAGGAUGGUAUAUUCUUCCAAACCAACUUCUCAGGUCUACAUUUCAGGUGGAAUAUUUCUCCAUACUAACUUUUUUGGUCAACAUUGAAGGAUUUUUUCUAAACCACCCUUUCAGGUCUAUAUUUGAGGUUUUAGGUGGAAGAUUCCUUUUAACCAGCCCCUCAGGUCUCUUUGAGGAUUUUGGAUGGAAUACUCGAUUAAACCAACAUUUUAGGUGCAUGUCCAAGGAUUUUUGGUGGAAUGUUCCUUUAAGGUGGAUGUUUGAGGACCUUGUAGGUGGAAUACUUCCUGAAACCAACCUUUUAGGUCAACAUUCAAAGAUUUAAGGUGGAAUAUUCCUUUAAACCAACCUAAAUUUCAUGUUUUGAUCAUUAUCAAGUGAGAAACCUCAAUCCAGACUCCUCAUAAUGACGUUUGAGAUUGAUGCUGCUGUUAUUUGUUUAGUCCAGACUAAAUGACAGAAAUCUACAACUGUAAUUUUAUUUCAGGACUCUGUUAUUAAAUGUCAAAACAAUCCAUGUGACUCUAAAAACUCAACAGCUUUACAAACUCUAAGAUUAAACUCUCCACAAGGAUCCAAAAUAAGCUGGACUUCUACAUGAGAGCUUUAAUUAUUCUUCAUCUACUUCCUGAAAAGUUUGGUCAAUAAAAAAGACAAAAACUAAUAUUUUCAGCUGAACUAAAGACAGACUUUGUGAUUUUUCUGCUCACAUGUUGUGUUGUUGUAAACUUCCUCUUUCAAAUAAAUAGCCGCCUAACCCCCUGGAAACCAGCGUUUGUCGUGUUUUUGUGUUGCUCCUCGGCAACCCUAGACAGCCGGGUCCUAAUGUUUUUUGAGCAACACACCAUACUAUGACGUUUUUACAAUGAUGGUUCUACUAUGGAACCAGUUUGACAUGUUCAGGUGUUCUUUGUGUGAAAACUCAGAGAUUUCAGGUAUCAGAAGGUGGUUUUCAACUUUCUUUGUUAACU